rnacentral:rRNA from 1 species
AACGAACGCUGGCGGCAUGCCUAACACAUGCAAGUCGAACGAGACCUUCGGGUCUAGUGGCGCACGGGUGCGUAACGCGUGGGAACCUGCCCUUAGGUUCGGAAUAACUCCCCGAAAGGGGUGCUAAUACCGGAUAAUGUCUUCGGACCAAAGAUUUAUCGCCUUUGGAGGGGCCCGCGUUGGAUUAGCUAGUUGGUAGGGUAAAAGCCUACCAAGGCGACGAUCCAUAGCUGGUCUGAGAGGAUGAUCAGCCACACUGGGACUGAGACACGGCCCAGACUCCUACGGGAAGCAGCAGUGGGGAAUAUUGGACAAUGGGCGAAAGCCUGAUCCAGCAAUGCCGCGUGAGUGAUGAAGGCCUUAGGGUUGUAAAGCUCUUUUACCCGGGAUGAUAAUGACAGUACCGGGAGAAUAAGCUCCGGCUAACUCCGUG